rnacentral:lncRNA from 1 species
GGACUGCUAGGUUAUUGUUUGAGCUAAAGCUGGCUAUAGUUUGUUUAUAGAAAGGACAUCACGGGAUUGCUCCGUUAUUGUUUGAACUAAAGCUGGCUAUCUUAUAACAAAAACCUUCCAUAUGUCACUAAGCAUGUACAUGAACAUAUGUCAGUGUGUCAAUCUAAAUAUAAACUGUGGAUACAGUGAUAUGUCUUGUCUAGAUAUAAUUUUACUGGUAUGAUGCAACACUAUGGUGAAGAGCUCCAAAUAGUAAAAUUAGUUGUUGUUCCAAUGUGUAGGUUGAAAACAUUAUUUCACAAGCCUUUUUUUUUUUUUUUUUAAAUAUCUGCCUUAAGUUUUUCAUACAGGUGACUUUAAAUAGAUUUCCAUUUAAAAAAAUAGUACCAACUGCUUCUAGUUUGACCCCCUCAUCCUGUUUAAAACAACCUUCAGCUGAAAUCACCCAAAAGUUUAUCUUUUCAUGCCAUCCUAAUGCAUCGAUCAUAGCAUGGCAUAGUUUUACUGGGUAGAAAUAUCCAUUAAUUUGAACUGAUGAAAUGUAGAUAAAUCAGCCUUAACCCCUCUGUUUAAAGAGCACUAUCAAUUUGAUUGUCUAAGAAGAAUCUAUUACCUACAAUUGGCAAAAGUUUGUGUGGAUCAUAACUGGGACAGAUAUCUGUCAGCUGCCUGUCUGAUAUUGUUGAACCAAUCUUUCUUGGCCUAUUUUUAAUUCAAACUCUGUAAGAGCUGCCCAGAUUACGAUAUUGGUAUUCUUUUUAGAAAAUAGUUUACACAAUGUUUAAUAUUGAGUAAGUAAUAUGAGGAUGUUUUCUGAGUUUUUGCAUUUAGGACAAAUAUUGUUAUGAUUUAUUUUCCAUUCCUCACCCCCCCCCCCUCCUUUUUCUCGUCAGAGAGAUAUUGAAACCAUACUUAAACCUAGUUUGCUCUAGAAAAGCAGCAAUAUAUGGGUACGAUCUUUAGAUAGGAAGAUCAUGUCUGAAUCUCUUACUGAGGUAAUCUGUAAGUUUGGUAAGUGUGAAGGAAAAAGACAUAGUUUACACCUUCUAUUACUGAGGUAAUCUGUAAAGGUCUGGUAAGUGUGAAGGGAAAAGACAUAGUUUACACCUUUUCAUAUUGAGGUAAUCUGUAAAGGUCUGGUAAGUGUGAAGGGAAAAGACAUAGUUUACACCUACUCUUAUUGAGGUAACCUGUAAAAGUUUGGUAAGUGUGAAGGUAAAAGACAGAUAGAUUACACCUUCUUUUUGAGGCAAUCAGCAAAAGUUUGGUAAGUGUGAAGGUAAAAGACAGAUAGAUU